ACUGAUGUUUUCCUAAGGGCUAGUUUUCAGCUUGUGAAUAUGAGCCCCAGCUAUCAAAUUAUAACAAAUCCAACUAGGUGCGUGUUUAUUUAUUAAUAAUGGCGUGGGAUAUAAUUUAUCCAAACAUGUAAAGAAGGCUGGAAUUGCAUACUAUUACUUGUUGAUUGCCAGGAUGGUGGUAUGUGUGUAUCUUUAAUGAUCAAGAUAGUGUUUGGCGGUGUUCGGGAAAGCGAGCGCUUCAUUGCUUUAAGCGAUGAAGCGAAGCGAAGCAAGGGUUCAGCGCUUCAGCGAGAAAAUCAUGAAGUGACCAGAAGCAGCCCCGCUUUUGGGAUUGAAGUGUGAAGCGAGAAAAGCGG
rnacentral:misc_RNA from 1 species